GUGAAUGUAGCUCAGAGGCAGGGUGCAUGCUUUACAUGCACAAGGCCCUGGGUUUAAUCCCCAGCGCUAACA
rnacentral:tRNA from 1 species